GGUGAAGGAGAUGGUCGGGCGGUCGGCGGGCCGAGACACCGGCAGCCAUUUGUACUGGAGGUCCUGAUCCGGAGGGUCCAGGCUCCAGUCGUAGUGCUCUAACAGGCUGGUGUCACCCCUUUGACAACAUGUUUGCUGACACACACCUGCUUCCAGAGGGACCGCCCCCACAUGGGAAAUAAACCUCUGUGCUUCCUGCUGUCACACCUGUAACACAUCUGUCCUGUUCUGCUGCUUUCCAUAGGCUGUGUACGGACCAGUAUAGGAGCUGGUGGCAACGCUUUCAGUCAGUUGGGCAUCGAGGGAGAAAGGACGAGGAAAACCAUCCACAGAACCACCAAAGCGGCAGGAAAAGCCUCAAGACGGCUCGAGAUCCAUGGAGUCAUCGAAACGUCCGAUGAUUACAGGAGCAACCAGCAGAUGUUUAGUCACGGAUAAGUUCAAAGAUCAAGGACUCAAACUACAAGGAACAGACAUGCCGUUUGCUGCAACAGAAAAGAUGUUCGCCAAAACUCAGUCAAAUGCGACAUGAAUUUCUUGGAAAAUUUCACAAACAAGCUCCAAGAGGAAAGCAGAUUUCGGCGUGGCAUAAGAAGAGGAAGGCCGUUAGUGUCGGAAAAAAGGAUGUUUCAGAAGUGGUGCACACAUUGAACUUCUAAUAGCUUUGGAACAUUAUGAAAUUACCUUCCCCCAGAGUUUCCAUUUGAAAUUUCUAGAAUAAAACAUUUUACGUCAAAAAUAAA